UAAUUUACUUAAUUUACAUAAUUUUACAUAAUUAAUGUAAUGUAAAAAAAAUUUUGCCCACCAACACUUACAAUUCCCAAUCAGUUCUCACUCAAUCCUCAUGGGAUAGCAGCUCUGACAGCUCAUCGAUCAGUUGACCGGAAGUUAUGAUGUGGUAGUAGAAGUAGUAGUAUGUGUGUUUGUGUGUGUGAUAGUGGUUCCAGAGGCCAAGUGGACAUCCCGUCGUCGAUCUGGAUGCAGUGCACCAUGGACCUGACCAGAAUUUGAAAUUCGAAUGGAAACUGGAUCUGCACGCUUUGGGCAGGCAAAACCACCUGUCUACUGAAUUCUUCUAGUUCGGAAGCCUCAAUUGGAAUUGCAUCAAUUGGAAGACGAUCUCGAGCUGAGUAACUGAGGAACUGAGGAACUGUCUGCUUGAGUGCUUUUCCAUUGCGGAGAGUUUUUCUAUUUCUAUUUGAAUUGGAAUUGGAAUUUGAAUUUUCAUUUUGAUUUUGAUUUUCACUUAAUUCCAUUUGCGAACUGGUUUGUGGCGCCCGAGCAGUUACAACAAUGGAUAUGACAACAAUUAGUUGAUGCCACAUGUCGCCUGGCUCUUUGUUCGUUGUCGCUGUCGUUAUUUGCAAAAUAGAUAUUGCAAAAUGCCCAAAAGCACUUGUUUUGCUUUGCUUUGCUUUGUUUGUUUGGUUGGUUGGUUGGUUGGGGCGGUUCUACGCGGCUUUUGUUUGGAUUUUUAUGAUGUCUAAAACUGUCGGCGCGGGUAAUUUGAUUUAAAAUGUUUAUCUUGAUUAGGGCCUUUAGCUGCUAAUGUAAUCGAGCCACUAUAUAGCUACCACUACUUGAUAUAGCUACUGGAUCAACAACGCCGCUACACGAGCCACCAACCGAAGGGCCAUAAAGAGUUAAACAAACGAGCGAGGCCCUCAACUCAACUGGCUGACUUUCGGCGCAAAACAUAUAGAGUGGAUAUAUACACAUAUGUACGUACAUAUGUAUAGUGCACAUGCACAUCUAGAGUUAUUUGCAUUCUGGUAACCCCGAGCAGGCAAAAAAAAACAAAAGGAAUGUAUUUAUAAGUCUUCCCACUUGAAUGUACUAUUUGUUUGCUAAAUACCGGCAAUAAGGUGGGCAAUAAUGAAGUGAGGGAAAGGAGAGAUCGACGACGGUGCUAGAGAAAGUGUCAGAUUGGUGACCCCGAACUGCCUGAAAAUGCUUACGUGGCAGGUUUUUAUGAGAUUUCCCUGUCUCGUUAUUUCUUAUUUGUUUGCUAAGUGCACAGGGAAAAAACCUUAUUGACUAUUCAAUUUUCGCAUGCUGUUCCAAAUAAAUUAUUACGAUUCAAUCAAUAUUUCGCUAUUUAUUUAUUUAAAGCCAAUGGUGGGGUAGGUAACUUAAAGCUAACACGGAGUUUUGCAUUUGUUGCCAUAACCUAUAAAAGAAAAGCCGUAUUAAAUAGUUAGAUGAUUAUGAACGUGUUUUAUUUUCAAUGGGUGGUGGCCACAAGAAAAGCUGGACAAUGCAAUAUAAUAAGUAGCAUACUUGGUCUAAGUAGCCAUGCGAUUGCAGUACAAAUACACCCCUUAAGUGCCUCCUUGAAUACGUGAUCAUUCAGAGCAUUGCAAUUAUGCAGCUAAUUGCACAAUUAAAGCAGUUGCAUUCGCAGCCCGCAGAAAAGAAUUAAUUCCCUGCACUGCCAGCACAGACUGUAUCUGCAUGCGAAUCUCAAUCUGAAUCUGAAUCCGCAUCGGAAUCGAAAUGGGAAUCCGUCUAUAUCUGACGCUAUAUCGAAGAACUUUGCGCUGACCCAAACCAAUUCGAAUCGGUUUGAGCCGCCUUGCCGCCCCCCAAAAUCGAAUGAACGCGAGGGCAAGGCAUUCAGAAAAUAAACAAACAAAUAAAUAAAUAAUUAUGGCGGAGAGCAAUCUAUGUAUAUGCGCUUUAUUUUUAAAGCAUGCCUUGAAGGAAAUGUUUGCCUGGCCGAAAAUAAAGCGACUCGCAAAUUUCGGUUUUCAAAAAGUGUGGUCGCGUUUCAGGUUCAAGAACAUUGUGCGCCGUUUAAAAUACAUCGAUUUACAGAUACAUCUAGAUACAUGGUUUGGCAUCCAAAUCUUAAGCACUUCCUGGUACUUUUAAUGUGCUGCCUUUCUGUGUGUUUCAUGUGUGACCUUUCUGCUCCCUGAAGCACCCCAUUUCCCAUAGUAAGAACGCUUAAAAAUGCCGACACGUUUCUCUUGUCUUAUCUGUGAGCAAAUAUUUUGAUUAAAUUGUAAUUUGCCUGCGGUUGCAUUUUAUUUCUGUUACAGCGAUCUGUCAUAAGAAAUGCGCCGCUGGUGACUUAACUUGUUUGAUUGCCGCCACUGCAAACAAAUAUGCAUGUUUUCGAUGCGAAAAAUGCAAAUCAAGUGCAAUCAGCAACGAUUGAGUGGCCAAUUGAAAAUCGGAAAAUCGGGAAAUCGGUGGGAAAAUGCAGAAAUGCUCUUUGUGUCACUGGGCGUAUACGCAAUUUAUUUCGUAUACAUUCUGUAUAAAUCACCAUGACUGUAAACUUACCUCUUCGUGGUAGCGGUGGGCGUGGCAAUGGUGAAGUCUCGUUAUCGUUAUCGGUGCCUUAACCGAGUCCUUCUUACCGGUUUUAUCGUUAUCUUGCCGAUUGACCUUCGAUAUUGCUUCCAUUCAAAUAGUUAUCGCUGAUUUUUGGUGUCGUCGACUUUUGUUAUGUUUUACCGUCGUUUUUUGUUUUUUGGCGCAAUUAUGUGACUCUGAAACCCAUAGAAUGAGAUCGUCAUCAUCGGGGCAUUCUUAUCUAAGCAUUCAUCCGGAUGUGCACAUGCGAUCGGAUCAAGAGAUCCACACGAUCGAUCCACACGUUUCACCCAAUUCUACCCAACGGCCAAAAUAUAAACAAUACGCAACACGUGAGUCGUGGAUUUUCUUGUGGCCCCCAAAAAGCGAAAGUCUGUCGUGCGAACGAGUGCGCAAUAGAAUGGAUAGAACGAGACGGAGCGCAAGGAAAAUUUGUUUUGCCAAGAGGGAAAAUGGAAAAACUGAUUUAAUCUUGUUUAUUUCGGACACCCGAGGGUGAGUCUGUCUGUUAUUUCGAUCGUUUUUAGUACUAUAUACUUCGUUUUGUUUAUGUUUUUUCUUCUUUUUUUUUGUGUUUAAAUUGUUCUUCGUUUCUUUCGCGCAGAAAAUGCGCCCUGUCUGCGAUUCUGAAUUUCCUAUUGACAAGCCAUUCGAAAGAUGUCCCAAGGAAGAGAAGUAUUGCAAAAUUUUCCUUUAGCCCAAGCGGGUAAAGUUCCCAAUACCCGUUGCAACCGGUUAUACCGGUUCAUCUCUGGAACCAUGAGUUUUCAAACUAAACUGUUGCCGAGAGCUAUUUCCGUCAGCAACAAGUGCCGUCUUUGGGGUCUAUAUUUGAAUGUCUUGCAUUGGAAAAUGAUGUGCCCCAGUGACGCAGCACUUCAGCACUUCGCUGCCAGAUGAUUAAUACCACAUAUUUAUAGAUCUGUAUCCGAAUCGGAAAUCCGUGCGUCCUUCUGAUGCCAAUGGGAGGUCAAAGUGCCGAAAGAGAGAUGAUGAUCAGAUAGAGAAGAGUUCGAGUCGGGAAGGUGGACCAGACCUGUUCGUUCUGGAAUGGGGCAGUUCGGACCCAACAUUCUAUCGGUGCGUGAUGUCGGGCCAAGUGAGCCAAAAGAUCGUGCAGUCAGUCUGCUGAACUCGAAUACGGAUUUGGAUGCCAUUCGGACAUUCCUGAACCGGACGGACACGUGCGACUUGGCCAGUAGCGAGUAGCUAGUAAUUCCCCUGCAAACGGGCCAUAUUUAUCGGGGGUGCUGGUCCAAUUCGAAUUAGCAUGCAAAUACGAGGAGAAACAACGGCCAAGUGAAAAAAUAUUCCCACAAUUUAAAUGCAAAUUUUGAGUAAACAAAACCAGGCGCACAAUAUUUACUUGUGUGUUAUUUUCCAUGCUGAAUAUGAAAUGAUAUAUCAAUCAAAUUAUAUGUAAAUACAAGUACUGCAACAGUUCUCCGCCCCUAAUUGCAAAACGCGAUCGCCGGUACAGUCUGCAUGGCGAAGGGUCAACGCUGCGAUAACGAUAACCAAAUCGGUGGCUCCACCCCCUCCACACUACGCAAUUCAGCUUGAAUCCUUACUUUGUGGCUGUCUUCCGCUUUCCUGCUAGUGCGUUCGAUCCUACUUGUUUUUUUUUUGUGUUUAUAUUUCGUUUUUAAUUGAUAUUCGGUAUGGGAAACAAAGUUUUCCACUGUUUUUCCAACUUGUACGAUUUGUUGAUGCUUUCGCGCUGAAAUGUGUUUAUAAUUUGGAGUCUUGCCAGGUGCUUUAGUGGUUCGAUUUUCUUUUUAUUUGCUUGGUUAAUGCUUGUUAAAUUGGUUGUAUAUGUUUUUUGUUUGCGCUUUAGUUGUAAUUCAUUUAUAUUGAUUCCUUCACGCUCUAGAAACGCUUGCGUUUAAAUCGCUUUCAAUGGGAAUCGAAUGUGGAUCACUAAACGAUUUAUUUUCAUCUGUAAUUUUUAUUACGCGCUUUCGAUUGCUUUUAUUGCUAUUAUACGUAUUUCUAUUUUUA